rnacentral:rRNA from 1 species
GCGGACGGGUGAGUAACACGUGGGCAACCUGCCUAUAAGACUGGGAUAACUUCGGGAAACCGGAGCUAAUACCGGAUAAUACUUUUCCUCUCAUGAGGAAAAGCUGAAAGGCGGCUUUUAGCUGUCACUUAUAGAUGGGCCCGCGGCGCAUUAGCUAGUUGGUGAGGUAACGGCUCACCAAGGCGACGAUGCGUAGCCGACCUGAGAGGGUGAUCGGCCACACUGGGACUGAGACACGGCCCAGACUCCUACGGGAGGCAGCAGUAGGGAAUCUUCCGCAAUGGACGAAAGUCUGACGGAGCAACGCCGCGUGAGUGAUGAAGGUUUUCGGAUCGUAAAACUCUGUUGUUAGGGAAGAACAAGUACGAGAGUAACUGCUCGUACCUUGACGGUACCUAACCAGAAAGCCACGGCUAACUACGUGCCAGCAGCCGCGGUAAUACGUAGGUGGCAAGCGUUGUCCGGAAUUAUUGGGCGUAAAGCGCGCGCAGGCGGUUCCUUAAGUCUGAUGUGAAAGCCCACGGCUCAACCGUGGAGGGUCAUUGGAAAC